AAUUCGAUUGAGUUUGAUCGUGGCUCAGAAUCAACGCUGGCGGCGUGCCUCAGACAUGCAAGUCGAACGCGAAAGUCCCCUUCGGGGGAUAAGUAGAGUGGCGCACGGGUGAGUAACACGUAGGUAAUCUACCUUCGGGUGGGGAAUAACCCAGGGAAACUUGGGCUAACACCGCAUAAUGCAGCGGCACCACAUGGUGACAGUUGUUAAAGCGGGGGAUCUUAGGACCUCGCGCCUGAAGAGGAGCCUGCGGCGGAUUAGCUAGUUGGUGAGGUAACGGCUCACCAAGGUGACGAUCCGUAGCCGGCCUGAGAGGGCGGUCGGCCACACUGACACUGACAUACGGGUCAGACUCCUACGGGAGGCAGCAGUCGGGAAUUUUGGGCAAUGGGCGAAAGCCUGACCCAGCAACGCCGCGUGAAGGAUGAAAUCCCUCGGGAUGUAAACUUCGCAAGAAUGGGAAGAAUUAGUAGGGGUUAAUACCCCCUAUGAUGACGGUACCAUUUGUAAGCUCCGGCUAACUCCGUGCCAGCAGCCGCGGUAAUACGGGGGGAGCAAGCGUUGUUCGGAUUUACUGGGCGUAA
rnacentral:rRNA from 1 species